UACGAAGGGGGCUAGCGUUGCUCGGAAUCACUGGGCGUAAAGGGCGCGUAGGCGGCCGAUUAAGUCGGGGGUGAAAGCCUGUGGCUCAACCACAGAAUUGCCUUCGAUACUGGUUGGCUUGAGACCGGAAGAGGACAGCGGAACUGCGAGUGUAGAGGUGAAAUUCGUAGAUAUUCGCAAGAACACCAGUGGCGAAGGCGGCUGUCUGGUCCGGUACUGACGCUGAGGUGCGAAAGCGUGGGGAGCAAACAGGG
rnacentral:rRNA from 1 species